GUGCUCACUUCACCAUCACAUAUAGUAAGAUUGUAAUGAUACAGAGAAAAUUAGCAUGGCCCCUGUGCAAGGAUGACACCCAAAUUCCUGAAGCAUUCCAUAUUUUU
ensembl:snRNA U6 U6 spliceosomal RNA